AUGGACUUGGGUUUGGUUGCAAAACUAGCCACAGCUCCAUUUUCUGUGCUAGGCCUGUGUGGACUCAGGGACAAAUCAGGAGACAAGUUUCAGGCCACCAAGGCACAGGGGUUGUUCAGCAGAAGCCUUUGGUCUUCAUUUACUGCAAGACAGAGCGACAUUCUGGCAUGUCUGGAUGGUUGGGAUCGGAGAUGUGUCUGGACAGCCAUCCCCAGCACCCAGUCACCCCCACCCUCAAGGAGGUUGGCAGGAGGGCCUCCCUCACCAGGUCCCUUGGGGCCCCAGGCUAUGAAGGCUCAGCCAUCUGCAAUACAUGGCACCUUCCGUCACCAGGUGUGAGGAGGAAAGUCUGGAGAAUUGUGUAUGGAUUUCCCACCCUCUCAGACUGUAAGUGACGCCCAUUGUGGCUGCUCGUGAGUCACUGGCCGGAUCUUAGCACGUGACUCCUACUAGCAAGAGGACCAGGAAAUGUAAGCAAACAAAUAGAUUCUUCCAUGUGUGUUUCUAUCUCUUCCACAAGAUGCUACUUAAUAUCACAUUCUCAUCCUUAAAAAUCAUUUCAAGGAUGCAUCCAUGUUUGGGGGGGAAAAAAAGAUCUGGGACAGUCUCUUAAUUGCAUAGCUGAAAUUCACAGGAUACCUGCUUAUUUGGUGUUAUACAGCCUCUUCAUGGUAGGUUUGCAGCCAGAGCUCUCUGAUCUCUUCAGGUCUACACUUAAGCUCUUUCUGCUCAGCCCUGGGAGCACAACAUUGUAGCAACUAGAACAAUUUGGAUGUCUAAUUUUGGUACAAGAACUUUGCUAUUGAAAGAAAGUGAAGGCAGCUUGUCCCAUUUAACAUUUCAUCCGGAACACGCAGAGACCUUUCCCACUCAUGUCUGAGGCGACCACAUCUGCAGAAUCAAUGAGAACGUAUGAUUGCUCAGUGUUGUCUGGUUAGCAUCCAAUUAUGUACAGUGUAUUUAUUUUAAAUUUAGAAGACGCACACAAGAGAUUUCCAGGAACAAAAUGAGAAGAAAUUGGCAGUGCACUGAAUGGAAAAAAAUUAAUGACUUGAAUUAUACAGCCUGUGUGUGCAUCAAAGCCGACAAGACGGGGAGCAGAGACAGGGUGCACUCGUUCACGCUCUAGUCCGCCGACGGUCCAGAGUGGUACCUGAGAGGUGUCACCCUCCAUGCAGCGGUCACAUCCUUUAUUUUCAUGGUAGGGCUGGGCUUUUUGGGUCAUGAAUGUGCCACAGUUUCAGGGGCACCAACGUGUUGCCCCUAAACAGACUUCCAUGGCAAACUUCCUUUUAGAGAAUAGAUUAAGUGAAAUCACAUUGUUGGCUCUGUGGGGCAAGAGGGAGGUGGUGAGCGAGAAAAGCCUGAGUAAAGAAUCACAGAGUAGGGCUUGGGACAUUUAUGCUGAUGGAAGGGAUCAGUAUUUGUUGAGCUCCUACUCUGUACUGUGCCUGUUAUGUGUCAAGGACCUUCACACACGUCCCACUUAUCCCUCGGGAUUAUCGCUGAUUUUAUACUGUGGGUUGAACCGCAACCCUUCAAAAUUCAGACAUUGAAAUCCUAUUUCAGACACUGAAAUACCUCAGAAUAUGACCUUUCUUGGGCAUGGGGUCAUUACAGAAGUCAUUAGCUGAGAUGAGGUCCUACUCGAUUCAGGUGGGCCCCAUAUACAAUAUGACUGAUGUUCUGAUAAAAAGGAGAAAUUUGGAGACAGAGACACACACGCACAAGGAGGACUCCGUUAGAAUGAAGGCAGGUAUGGGAGCGAUGCUUCUAGAAGCCAAGGAUGCCAGAGAUUGCCAGGAAACCCCGCAGAAGUUAGGGGAAACACAUCGAACAGAUUCUCACAGCCCACUGAGGAGGAACCUACCCAGCCAACACCUUGAUCUCAGAUUUCUGGUCUCUGAAGCUGAAAGACAAUAAAGGCUGUUGAUUAAGC
rnacentral:lncRNA from 1 species